GGAGGCUUAGCUCAGCUGGUUAGAGCGCCUGCUUCACACGCAGGAGGUCGAGAGUUCGAGUCUCCCAGUCUCCACCA
rnacentral:tRNA from 3 species